rnacentral:siRNA from 1 species
GUGUUAGCAUUGCCAGAGCAUGG